rnacentral:rRNA from 1 species
AUUGAACGCUGGCGGCAGGCCUAGCACAUGCAAGUCGAGCGGAUGAAGGGAGCUUGCUCCUGGAUUCAGCGGCGGACGGGUGAGUAAUGCCUAGGAAUCUGCCUGGUAGUGGGGGAUAACGUCCGGAAACGGGCGCUAAUACCGCAUACGUCCUGAGGGAGAAAUUGGGGGAUCUUCGGACCUCACGCUAUCAGAUGAGCCUAGGUCGGAUUAGCUAGUUGGUGGGGUAAAGGCCUACCAAGGCGACGAUCCGUAACUGGUCUGAGAGGAUGAUCAGUCACACUGGAGCUGAGACACGGUCCAGACUCCUACGGGAGGCAGCAGUGGGGAAUAUUGGACAAUGGGCGAAAGCCUGAUCCAGCCAUGCCGCGUGUGUGAAGAAGGUCUUCGGAUUGUAAAGCACUUUAAGUUGGGAGGAAGGGCAGUAAGUUAAUACCUUGCUGUUUUGACGUUACCAACAGAAUAAGCACCGGCUAACUUCGUG